GGGUUGUAAACCUCUUUUAUAAGGGAAGAAUAAGUUCUACGUGUAGAAUGAUGCCUGUACCUUAUGAAUAAGCAUCGGCUAACUCCGUGCCAGCAGCCGCGGUAAUACGGAGGAUGCGAGCGUUAUCCGGAUUUAUUGGGUUUAAAGGGUGCGUAGGCGGUUUAUUAAGUUAGUGGUUAAAUAUUUGAGCUAAACUCAAUUGUGCCAUUAAUACUGGUAAACUGGAGUACAGACGAGGUAGGCGGAAUAAGUUAAGUAGCGGUGAAAUGCAUAGAUAUAACUUAGAACUCCGAUAGCGAAGGCAGCUUACCAGACUGUAACUGACGCUGAUGCACGAGAGCGUGGGUAGCGAACAGGAUUAGAUACCCUGGUAGUCCAUGCCGUAAACGAUGCUCACUGGUUCUGUGCGAUAUAUUGUACGGGAUUAAGCGAAAGUAUUAAGUGAGCCACCUGGGGAGUA
rnacentral:rRNA from 1 species